CUCUGCAGCUUUUAAGUUUGUAAAAACUGGUGGCCAUGCCAUUCUGAAUGUGCCCAAAUUCAUCUAAGUUUCUAAAAACUUAGAUGACUGCAGUGGUUAGCUAAUGAUAUGUGUAAGUAAAUGAACUCUGUGAAGACUAGGAAGGGCCAAGAUGAAAUGGGAGAGAUUGAAUUACAAAUUAACAAACUGAAAGAAAAACUCAAGUUGCAAAAAGAUAGUCGCAGAGACAGCAGUAACACCUUCUGGCUAUAGUCUAUUUUCAUCUUUCUCAUCCUAGUGUUAUCAAGAGAAAAACAGUCUUAGAUGCAACAUAAAAAUUUCAGAGACAGAAGAAAUCUUCCUUUGAGGGCAGGUGAGUCUAUUAUUUGGAAGGGAGUAACACAAAACUCCACAGGAUGCUCUAUGAUCAAUACAAUCAACAAACCUUCACACUGUAUGUUUAAAGGUAUUAAGAAGAUAAACAAACACAUCAGAAUUUUACCAGUUGGAAUAAUCCUGUAUUGGAUGCUUGCCUCAUUUGGGGAUUUACCAUUGAUCUCUUCUCUAUCCUGAACUUCACAGCAUUAUUCUCAAUGACUCUACAAAAGUAAAGGAUAGCUGUUAGUUAAAUAUUAGAAAAAUUUUUGGUUUAAAAUUGAAGACAAGUUGCAUAUUUAUUAAUUGUAUAAGGUAAAACAUGAGAAGGCAAAAUUAUUUUUUAAAUUAAAAUUUU
rnacentral:lncRNA from 1 species